rnacentral:lncRNA from 1 species
CAGUUCUUUCGAGGCAUUAUCAUUACUUUACAACCUUUCAGUAUUUAAAGAUAGUUAAUGUUUCCAGUACUUCAAUAAAGGUUUCACAUACUAGAGUAACAGUUAGACAGAGUCUCAUACUUUUCAUCUUAAGCCAUGUUGGCCGCAAAUAUGUUUCAUAAUUGUAUUAGUAAUUUAGCACUUUGAUUUAUAUCAUCCAUACUUUCGGUAUAUCAGCAUGUGUUAGUUUAUCUUCCGUAUUCAGUAUGUUAUAAUAUCACAUGUUAAUUCAGCCAGCUAGUUGGUUUGCUCGGUCACUUGUAGUCAGACACCGAGUGUCGUGUUACGUCCAGGCCCAGGUUUGGGGCGUGAUGACUUCAUUGGAUAUUAUACUGAUAAAGGAAAACUGAAACAAAAGUCAGUAACAAUGAAAAAAGGAUUCAAUUAACCCAAUGCUAAAACACCCAAACAAAAUUUCUUUCAAAAUAAGAUGGUCAUAUAAACUAACAGCGGGGUUCUAAUUGAGAUAACAAAUCAAGUUCACUCAUACCAUGUUCAAAUACUUCAUUGCUCUUCAAACACAAAUUCAAGUUAAGUUGGGAUAUACAUUCAGUACAUGUUAUUCAAGCGAGCAUUGGCAUAAUGAAAAAUAUCAUGGAUAUUAAACACAAACACACAAAAAGAAACUAAUUAACACAUGAUGAAAUAACCGAAAUCUUAGAUUGAUGUUUACUGAUUUGGCCAAUAAUUACUGAGUGAAGAACAAUACCUAAACGCUAGAACAAAUCAGCCAAAUAACCUAAUAGUGUUCUGAAAUUAGAAGGUGAAGGUUCAGCAGCAAGAACCAACAAUCGAAAAAACCCAAGAAUUUUUUCAAACUUCUAAAAACCAAGGAAAACACUUGAGGACUAAAGAAAGCUCAAAAAAGUUCUGAAGAACACCUUUUAGAAAGAAAAAAACUUUUGAAUUUUUGUCGUGUAUAUAUCUUUCCUUGUUCUCUUUGAUUUUUGGAGAUAUUUUAGCAGCUAUGGAAACCUCAAACUUGUGAUUGAAAUAUAACAGCCACCCUCCCUUUUCUUCUCUCUUUUUUCCUUACCCUAAAGAGGAGUGAAAUGAGCCUUUUAUAGCAGAGAAUUAGGGCAACCAACCUAAUUUUCCUAAUUCAAAUGUACCCUUUGAGUUUUCAUUUUAAUUCACUUCAACCCCUACCCACGGAACUUCCCCCUCUUUUUUUCUUCCUAAAAUGAUCUUUGUCAGUCCCUAUCUAGAAGCUUCCCAUUUGUUAGGAUAAGACUCUCUCAAUCCCUAUCCAAAUUGAACCCUUAGUACACUUGUAAUUAUCCCCUAUUUUACUACUUUGACAUUUAGCCUAAGUGAUAUUGGGCCUCUGGACUACUUAUACCACAAGCCCAAUAAUUACUUGGGGUUUUGCACUAAUAAACCCAAAUCUGAACCCACCCUAUAAGCCAAAAAUAGUUUUGCGAAAAUUUAAGCAAAUGAAAUUCUGGCUAAACGGGAAAAUAAAUAAACGAUGCAUUAAAAAAAGACUAUACACUAACAAAUGAAAUUAAAUAUAAUUAUUAAGCUAUUACCACUGAUGAAUCAAUCAUGAACCAAACAAAAAUAACUUUUAGACAAAAUUGUCAUCAUAGGAGGGGUUAAGAAAAAUGGAGAGGUAUACCGAUUGAAUCGCCAAAAGCUUCAAUAUCUCAGGGAAAAGCAGUAACGGAUCGAUUCGAACUCCGGCGAACAAGAAUCUCGGCCAAUGGUGGGAAUUGUAACAUAAACGCUAGUCAAAAUUUCUUCCACAACUCGUGCUUCAUAUCACAAUCCUCAACACAUGCCAAGAAAUAGAGGAGGCAGAGACUCAAGGAGAUUCGGACACUCAAAGGUUAAAUGCUUGGAAUCCGGCCAACUAGAAAAAGGGUUAUCCUUACAAGCAGUCGAUUCUUCAUGUUGAAAAUAGGGGGUUCAAGUGGGUUUCAUCAUGAAUUGAGGGCCAGGUCAAGAAGAAUCAAACAAGAAGUAAAAAGUUAGGAUUUUUAUUCUUAGAUCUCUAAUUCGGAGAAAAUGAGUAUUCUUUUGGAGGAAUGAAUGGCGGAUAUGAACGAGGGGGUGAUGGAUGUUGUGUGGUUGAAGUUUGAGGGGAUUUGGAGGUGGUCCGCCGCUGCGAGACGAUUCCCGGGCGGCGGAGGAACGACGGAAGGGGGCGGUGGUAUUGAGAGAGAUAGCGAUUUAGGUCUGGACAUGGCUUAAUUGAAUUUUUGGGGUGGGUUAAUAAAACAGAGACUAAGGUUUGGUUGUUUAAAU